rnacentral:rRNA from 1 species
CGUGUAGGCGGUCCGCUAAGUCUGAUGUGAAAGCCCGGGGCUCACCCCCGGAAGGGCAUUGGAAACCGGCGGACUCGAGUCCCGGAGAGGAAGGUGGAAUUCCUGGUGUAGCGGUGAAAUGCGUAGAUAUCAGGAGGAAUACCGGUGGCGAAGGCGGCCUUCUGGACGGUGACUGACGCUGAGACGCGAAAGCGUGGGGAGCAAACA